rnacentral:lncRNA from 1 species
ACACUAAUUGUUCCUGUUUAAUAGCUACUACUAUUAAAACUCAACAGCUAACAAAAAUACUAAAAAAAAUGAUUUUUUCUUAUGAUGCUGUGAAAAAAAUUACGGGUUUACUUAUUUCCACGAGAUCUUGUAUAGUGUUCUUGUAUAGUGGAAUUAAGAUUGUCUUCCCGAUGGUGCAAUUCACCCUCUUCCUUUACAGUCACUUGCACUUUGUGCAGCUUUGGUGUGGAUAAGAUUCCCAGGGAAAAAGUCUUCAUGUUCGGACAAUGUGUCACAAAUACUCGUUCCAAUGAUGGGAAUUCAAGAGUGUAAUUCUCCAAACAAAAGCUGGUAAGCCUUGGUAAAUCAUCAAGUUCCAAAAGUUUUAAUUCUUUGAAAGCAAUACGAUUCUCCUUCGUUUCUUCUCCAGCAUGUCCUACGAUUUGUUCUAAUUUUUUGCAGUUCCAUACAUAAAGAUUCACCAGACUAGUAGGAAUUCCAACCUGAAAAUAAGCAGAGAGUGUGU